rnacentral:tRNA from 1 species
UAUAAAUAUGUUAGGUACAAAAAAGAAUUUUGAAUUCUUUAUAUUUAGUUCAAUUCUAAAAUUUAUAA